rnacentral:lncRNA from 1 species
CCAAAUUUCAGUAUUAUAAUGUCUGAUGGUUAAUGUGAUGUCACUGAAUGCAGAUUGAGAAGACUGUACAAAAUCAACUCUCAUGGGCCAAUGCAAGAGAUUUCCAACACAACAGUGCAUAUAGGAUUUUGAAGAUUAUAUUCUCCAAAAAUGGUCAAGAUGAUAUCACCUCUCCCACCAUUCAUUUUAUGAUGUGGCUUUGAUAUUCUCACUGAAGACUAGGAUCCCUUUUAUCCAAGGACUCAUGACUACAGCAGAAGUGUUGCUAUGUGACAUCUGAGGCUAGGUCAUAAAGGAAGUUCAGCUCCUUCUUUGAUCUCUUCAUCUUUUUGCUCUUCAAAUGAGGGAAGCACAUUCUGAAGAAGACUGGGCAGAUACAUGGACAGGCUACAUGCAGGUGUUUUCACCCGCAGCUGAGUUCCCAGUUGAUAGAAUUAACAACACUCAUGUGAGUAAAUGAACCUUUGGAUAAAUCCAGUCCUCAGACAAGUCCACUCUGGCCUUUGGGUGAGAAAAACUAAAAUGGCUUUCUAUAAAGGAAAGAAUACCUGAGUAUGAAAACACAAGAGCAAUAUGGCCGAAAACUUGUAUACUAUAAAGACUUUCCUUGGGAUACAUACAACCCAUUCUGCAGACUACUGCCAAUUGAAGAGUAUGCACACCAGCAUGGAGAAUGGGGAGGCAAAAGGAGAGAAUCUUCAAGCAAACUCCCCCAAGACCCAUAAGAUAUGACCUGAGCCACCCAGGGCUAAUCCUUUCUUCAGCUACCUCCAUUGUGCUGUCUGGAAUAGCUUGUGAUUGCUGAACGUGGAGGAGACAUCUUGAAUAAUGAUUUGGCCUUGGGAACAGAAACAAAGCACCAAGCAAGAAUGUAGAAGAAAUCUAUAGUUUUUGUAUUUUUUCAGCAACAUGCCACCACUUUCUAAUUUUUAUAAAUAUAUCAUGUAAAAAAUGCUAUUUUCCCAAUGUCAUUUCACGCUUUGUGUCACUCAUAUUUAAGCAUAAUUUUAACUACUAUGUAUUCGCUAUCCCUUCCUUCUCCAUUCUAGUAGCAAGUCCUUACUUAUCUACAAGUAAUCCUAACGCUUAACUAGCUUACUCAUUUUUAGAGUGUAUGUUAGCAUUCAUUUGUUCAAAUGCAUAUUUAAUGUUUGCCUGUCAGUUUAUUACGUGACAAGCAAAAGAAAAGUGAAAAGUUCUUUCAUCAUGG